rnacentral:misc_RNA from 1 species
ACAUGUCAUAUGACUGAGAAUAUUUCACGUCUGAAUUGGUUACGCCUUGAUGUUUAAACUAGGAUGAUGUGGAAUGAUGAGCUCCCCUGCAGGAGGUGAAGAUGAGUGUUCCAGAUGUACUCAAGUACGGAACAGAUACACAGAGAAGGAGAACCGUGAACCAGUCAACAAACUUUUACCAGUUCACACCGAAUAUAAGAUUCUAACGGAGGGUGGCAAGAGAAGACAAGGAGAAGAAGCAAAGAAAACAGGAAAGAAGACAUUUGCGGAUCAAGUCGCCAAAGCAGCGUCAGCAUUACGUAACAGUGGUGGAGGAGUGUUGCUAGUCCACGUACAAGGGACGUCCCAGGAAGACCGGUGUCUGGAGUACUUUGACGAGGCCGUCAGAAAGGAGUUGACAGGGUUACUUGAAAACGGUGAACUCUAUACUGACGUCUAUGAACGUAAAUGUUUGUGUCAGAUUGAAACAUUUGAAGAUAUCACGGACUUUGUUCAGAUAAACGUUGGGAAAGUUGAGAGUGUAUGUACUGUUGAUUUCAACACAAAAGCAAGUAAUGACAGUGAGAAUCUUAGCAUCAACUCAUCAAACAUACAGGUGUUGCUGAGAAAAACAGAAACUCAAGCACGUAUCCUCCCUACUGCAGAACUACCAGAUAACGUCCAGGACCUUCACGAGAACCGACAUAUACAGCUGAAAACAUUCAAGACCACGAAGGAAGUCACAAGCAUUAAGGGAGAUGCUAAACAGUUGACUGACUACAUAUGGAACAAAUUGAAGCUCAAGGACAACAUUACAUCUAUGUCCAAGGUUGUUGGUGGGGGGUCAUACUUCUUGGGUGUUAGCGAAUCAAGACUAACAACGAAAGAAGGAUAUACAACUAAGCAACCGGAAUACACUGGUUUUAAGUUGGACAUAUCACAAGAGUCUCUGAGAGAACACAUUUACAAGAAGCUGAAAACUGACAUCUGUGUCUUGGAUCUUGACAGAAAGUUUAUAGAAGGACCAAGGAACUUGAUCGAUAUUACAUUCCACACCGUCCCCAGGCUGGAUGCUGGCUUAGUUGUAUUGGAAGUUGCCAUUCGUUAUUGUCGGGGAGUUGUGUUCUACGACAAGGAAGGACCCAGAACAUAUCAUGUCACAGAUAGCGGUGCGACAAACACGAAAAAUGUUCGUCGAAUGAAUCGUUCUGAAUGGCUUCGAAGAUUACAGAUCAUGCACUCUCAUUUUCAUACUUAAACUGUUGGGAAGUAGCUGUUCAAUCUAUGACAGUCUAAACUAAUAACUCAAGUAGAACAGCAUUUGACAUUUGUGUAUAGUUAUAUAAGCAACCAUGUCCGACAGUGACGCUGGAACAUCAACUGGCUCUACACCUUAUGAGUCGGAGGAUGACAUGAUUUGCUACAUCACCGGAUCCACACAGUCACCAUCCGAGCAUCCUGACCAGGAACCAGAUGCCAGGCGACUCAAUGAAAGAAGUUUGCCUUCCCGACAGAUGCAGACAGAAACGACGCCAUUGGCUGGGGCAUCAGUAGCUGCUGCUGACGGUGUCCUGGGUCCUGACACAAAUAACCAUUUGAACAAGACAAGCGUUUCUAACAGCGAUGUGCCGUCACUUGUACCUGCUGAUGGCAGUGCGGAAAGUCCAUACAUGAGAACUCCUGACAGAACAGUUAUCAACCGGCUAUCUGUGCCUUCUGACGAUGAUGCCUUAGGUAUUAACCCCAGCAUUCUGCGACGUCUGACAAAAAAUGUUUUUGGCAAAAAGGCAAAGUACCAGGUGUCUGAAGCUCCAGCCGACAGUGGCCAAAUUAGUGACACAAGCAAAGUUCUGCGCUUGGCAAGUAUUUUCGACAGCACAGUAACGGAUCAGACAUCCAUAGCUUCUACUACCAAGAAAAGUAAUUUGGGCAGAACUGAAUCUGUAGCUUCUGCGGACAGUGGCAUAGGCCUUCGAAAGAUAUCGAAGUGAGAUGAGUGAUAAGGUUUAUACAACCACUGCCAGAUGAAACAAAAUUUGGGGCAGAGAAGCUUAGACGAGGCAUCUAUAGUUUCUGGCAACAGUGGCGUGGGUACUGACACAAUCAAACUCCAUAUCUUGAAGGUGGCACAAUUGUGCUCUCUGUGAGCUACCUGUUAUCCAUUUCCUGUUGAUGUUAACGUGCUGCUUAUUUCCACUUCUCGUGUAUUUGUACCUGUUACUCCAACUUGAUGAAUGAAACACUGCUGUAUGGCUACGGGGUGGGAUAAGUCAUGUUACUAUAUAUAUAUGAACCUUCUAGCGCCUAACGGGAAGCUUUGGUUAUCCGGGGUAAUAAUAUCGGUGUGGGGUGGCCUUAUUAUCAAUAUUAUCAAUGUUUAUUGAUUGGGAGACCAUUUACACUGUUAAAUGCGUCUACAAAGAAAUUUUCUCCUUUUUUAUCCCAUAUCUGGCUGAACUUAAUACUGAUUUGAGGAAUUCUAUAUCAAAACCAGACGCCGCUAUCAAAAAUGUAGAAAUUGAAAAUGAAAACGUUAAAAAUUGAAACUGUUACCUGAGUGAGUGAGUAAAUAUUGCUUAAUACCCCAUCAGCAAUGUUGCAGCUAUUUGUGGCAACUACAGGUACCUAGGCACUAUCGUUAACUAUAAUUCCGGAUGCGCACGCACAGCGACAAGACGUACUCGUAAAGAGCUCUGGCCAGGCGCGCUAAUGUUUUUUUUUAAUCCAAAUAAUCUAUGAAGAAUUCUCAAGUUAAUAUACCAUAGGACAACAUAUUUGAAGACUACGGAUACAAUCCAACCAUUGAGUACAGCGAUACAAGUAAAUAUCCCACAAAAACAGUGCAAAAGUGAGUAGAUAUUAACAUUGCCAUGCCUCCGAAAACGCGUGCAGACGAGGUGGAGGAAAUUGUUGUUAAAUCCGAAGAAAUAGUCUCCAAAUUUAUUGUAGAACUCCGUGCUGACCUAGUUAACUCUACAAAAGACAUUAAAGGUGAAAUACAGAAAGUGACUACGAGAGUUAACGAUAUCGAAAAUGCAGUGUCCAUUCAGCAGGACGAAGUGAACGACUUGCGCCAACAGGUCUCACAAUUAAAGCAAGCACUUUCGGAGCAAGCGGAAUUGUUUGAGAAUAGACUCGUGCUUAAAGAAAUCCACGAUAGAAAAUCUAACCUGUUGAUAUAUGGUCUAAAAUCUGAACCACAGGGGAACUCUGAGAGAGUCAUCAGAAACUUUCUGGUUAAUAUGCUUAACUUUUCCGAGCAAAGGGUGGAUAACAUUUACUUCAAAGCGGUUCAUCGCCUACCACGCAAGCCGUUUGAGAACGACUCAACUCCAAAUACACCCCCUCCUAUCAUUUCAUCAUUUCUGUACAUCCCCGACAGAGAUUAUGUCCUCGACGCGGGAAAAACAUUGAAAGGUAAAGGGGUAUCUGUCCGUACGGAUUUGCCCCCCAAACUGAAGAAACAGCGAGCAAUCCUGUACAGAGAAAGCUGUUACACUCGCGUGAGACUGGUGGGUGUAUCCCACGUGCUGGAGACUCGGGACCCUCGAGAAUCACAAUCAUCCUGGGUUGCCUAUCCAGUGAACCUCGACAAGCAUUGGACAAAAGGAUAAAUGUACCUACCUUACGUGAUGACCAUACAAGUUUUUCAUCAUUCAGAUGCUGUAGAGAUUUUAUAUCCAAAAGAAAAGUAUGUCUUCUGUUGUCCCACUAUCCAGGACGUGAAAUCGUAUGGAGGUGCUGUCAGUGAUACCUUCGGAUCAACAGAUUCCAGGGCAAUCCGUGUGCAUACUCUUACAUGCUGGAAUUCACCACGAACAGGUAAUGCAAAAUGUGGGCUCUUGUUGAAACGUUAAAAAAAACUCACAUCACUACAGCUUUGUUAGGAUCGUAAAUUAAUGUUGCAGAGUCACUCCGAACUUUCAUGUAGAUCCUGUGUACCAGACCUUUUUCACGGGACUCUCCAGUAACUGCUCAUAUUAAUCCAUGUGCAUUAUCCGGUGACAACACUUAGAUCGUAACUCAUGUUGCAGAGUCACUCCGAACUUUCAUGUAGAUCCUGUGUACCAGACCUUUUUCACGGGACUCUCCAGUAACUGCUCAUAUUUAUCCAUGUGCAUUAUCCGGUGACAACACUUAGGAUCGUAACUCAUGUUGCAGAGUCACUCCGAACUUUCAUGUAAAUCCUGUGUACCAGAACUUUUUCACGGGACUCUCCAGUAACUGCUCAUAUUUAUCCAUGUGCAUUAUCCGGUGAAAACACUUAGUCUAUUCUGUAUUCCCUGUGACUGGUCAUUCUAACAGGGAGAAGUGACAUUUGUCAGAACACCCAUAUGUUGCGAUAGUUAAUUAACACUAAUCUGAACAUUCUGCAUCUGUUGGGGUCCGCCUGCAGAGUCUGUUGCUCGACGUUUGGGCAGGUGCGUUUUUAAGUUAUUUUGUGGUUAGUUCGUUGAAUAGAAUAGAUCCUAACAUUGAACGUAUUAAGACAAUUUAUGGCAUGACGCAACCAUUGUUCAGUUAGCAUGUCGCUGAAAUCUAUCAAACAGAUGAACGAAGCCUAUUCAAGAUUCAUUUAUAAUUACGAUAAUAUUGAUAUUAUUUCCUUUCGUCAAAAUGUGGCUGAUGUUAAUUGGGAUUUUCUUACACAAAAUGAUGAUGUUGAUGCCAUUGCUUCAAAAUUUGUUAAUACAUUAACAGACUUAUGUAAAUCAAAUAUUCCAAAUAAAACUGUUGUGAUUCGUCCAAAUUAUGCUCCGUGGAUGAACGGAUUUAUAAGAAAACUUAUGCGUAAGAAAAAUAGAAUUCAUAGAAAGACUACACGUAGUAACUUGCCUAAUGAUUGGGAUAAAUUUAGAAAAAGUCGAAAUAAGCUUAUCUCAGAGAUACGUAAAAGUAAGUCAUUGUAUGUUGAAAAGCUUGAUAAUGUUGUCAAUACCUAACAUGGUAGUAAAUCUUGGUGGCGGAUUGUUAAACAUUAUCUUAAGAAAACAGAUAAAGCUAAGGUAUUUCCACACAUUGAACACAAUGGUGUUGUUUAUGAAGAUGAUAUUGAGAAAGCAAAUGUUUUUAAUGACUACUUCGUGAGUAUGGCAGCGGUUAACAGUUCUUCUGAUGAUGUUAAUGUAUAUUCUGAUAUUAACGUGGAAAAUUGUUUGAUAUUUCUUUGUCCUCUUCUCAAUUUCCAGAUAUAUGGAAAUGUUCAUCCGUUGUUCCAAUUUAUAAGAAAAAUAAUGUUCAUGAUUAUACUAAUUAUCGACCGGUUUCACUUACUAGUUGUCUUUCAAAAGUAUUUGAGAAAGGUGUUUUUAAAUAUGUGUUUCUAGAUAAUGGAACUAUUACUUCAUUACAGUCAGGUUUCACGACUGGUGAUUCUACAUCAUACCAGCUCACUCAUUUGUAUGACUAUAUAGCUAAGGCGAUGGAUAGUGGCAAGGAGGUACGCGCUGUAUUCUACGAUAUAAGUAAAGCGUUUGAUAGGGUUUGGCACAAGGGUCUUUUGCAUAAGUUAUGGGCUAGUGGAAUUCGCGGAUCUCUUUUAUUAUGGUUUGAAAGUUAUCUAAAUAAUA